GUGUUUGAAUUCAGCAUGCUGAUGGUUUUGCACGAGUGGUGAAUAGACAGAGCUUCCAGCAGCUUGCAGACAAAGUUUUUGUUGAUGGCAUCACCUGGGGGAAAAUAUUCACUCUGAUCUGUGUUGUUGGGAAAUCCAUUGCAAAGAUUAUUGCUGAUUUAGUUUCAGGAGUUGUGUCUUGGACACUGGAUUACUUCAGGGAUAACCUUCUGAACUGGAUCUGCAAUAGAGGAGGAUGGAUCAACAGUAUCUCUUCCUUGGCUCAUUACUCAUUUGAGCGAGAUUUUGGUUCCUCAUCCAGCCUGAUCUCCCUUUCCUCUGGAGUGCUCUUCAUCAGUGGAGUACUGCUGGGUGGUUUCAUUGUCUGGAGACUGAACAGAUGUGCAUGAGGAGGGUCAGUGAAGGACUGAUGAAGUGAGAAAAGGGGGAAUGCUGUGAUUUACAUAUGCAACAGACCAAAAAUAAUGAUGAUCUGAGCAAGUGAGAGAAGGCUGCUUGGCAAUAGCAUGUGUUUUAUUAAUUUUUUUAAAUUUAUUUUAUGUUCUGC